GCGGCUGGCACAUGUAGUCAGCGCCGUACUGCUGCUACUGUGGCUACUGUCAUCACUGCUGUCACUGACUUAUCCAAGAGCUGGCUUUCCUAUUUUGGUGUGUGCCAGCCCAACGUGGCAGCCUCCCUGUGCUUCAGGGUACCUGCCGGGGCCACCAAACAGCAUCUGCAUUCUUCCUGUUGGCAGAGCCUCUGGUUCAGGCGCCUGCGCCAACCCUGCUGACUCCAGCUCCCGGAGGCUGCCUGUGUCUCUUGGCUAAUGGCCCCUUUCCAGCAAUUGUCGCCUGAGCCACAGUGAGACCCCGACUCACGAAAAAAAAAAAAAUGGAAAAACCCAGCUGGGUGCCGCGGCGAGCACCUGUAAUCCCAGCAGCCUCCGGAGGCUGAGGCAGCGGGGUGCCAGCAGCUGAGUCUGAGGUUGUGGUGAGCUACCACGCCCACUGCACUCUGCUCAGGGGCAUAGGGUGGGACCCUGUCUCAACAACAAAAAAGUAAAGAAAUAAAAAAUAAGCAAUGAAAUAAAAUAAAAA